GCUUUGAGUCUCACCAGCAGCUUACCGAGGAGCUCCAUUCGCAACUCCAACAUCCUCUUUCAUCUCUGCCAGCUUCCCCUAUUUCACUCUCUCUCUCUCUCUCUCUCUCCCUUUCUCUAUAAAUGCCGCUAUAUCGACAUAUAGAGAGAGAGGGUUAUAUAUAGCUAUAUUGAGGGUAGAUGGAGAGAGUGAGGAGGAUGAAGCCUGACUCCGCCAUUAACUCCGGCGUCACCUUCAUCAAUAAAAUCCUCAUCGCCAUGGCUCUCAACGAAGUUCGGUUGCAGCUUUUCCGACGAGAUUUAAAUUCGCUAUGAUCCGGCGUAUGUGUGGGCCACCUGCGAGGUCAGCUUGAAGCAGCUCGACAUUAAUUUCUUAGAUCACUAUUAUCGGCAUCGCGUCGACACUAGCAUCAUCAUCGAAGUCACGCAUCUACCAAAGUUCCAACCUGAGAAUGUGGAGCAUAACAAAAACUUAUUUGAGCGGGUAAAUGCUAUGGCAGCAAGCAAGGGAUGCACUCCAUCACAGCUCGCAUUGGCCUGGGUCCAUCACCAAGGAAAUGACGUGUGC